rnacentral:rRNA from 1 species
UGAAUCUGCCCAUCUGUGGGGGAUACCAGUUGGAAACGACUGUUAAUACCGCAUAAUAUCUGCGGAUUAAAGGUGGCCUUUGUGCUGCCGCAGAUGGAUGAGCCUGCGUUGGAUUAGCUAGUUGGUAGGGUAAGGGCCUACCAAGGCUACGAUCCAUAGCUGAUUUGAGAGGAUGAUCAGCCACAUUGGGACUGAGACACGGCCCAAACUCCUACGGGAGGCAGCAGUGGGGAAUAUUGGACAAUGGGGGAAACCCUGAUCCAGCAAUGCCAUGUGUGUGAAGAAGGCUCUAGGGUUGUAAAGCACUUUAGUUGGGGAGGAAAGCCUAUAAGUUAAUAGCUUGUAGGAAGGACGUUACCCAAAGAAUAAGGACCGGCUAACUCCGUGCCAGCAGCCGCGGUAAUACGGGGGGUCCGAGCGUUAAUCGGAAUUACUGGGCGUAAAGGGUCUGUAGGUGGUUUGUUAAGUCAGAUGUGAAAGCCCAGGGCUCAACCUUGGAACUGCAUUUGAUACUGGCAAACUAGAGUAUGGUAGAGGAAUGGGGAAUUUCUGGUGUAGCGGUGAAAUGCGUAGAGAUCAGAAGGAACACCAAUGGCGAAGGCAACAUUCUGGAUCAAUACUGACACUGAGGGACGAAAGCGUGGGGAUCAAACAGGAUUAGAUACCCUGGUAGUCCACGCUGUAAACGAUGAGUACUAGCUGUUGGAUUCGGUGUAAAGGAUCUAGUGGCGCAGCUAACGCGUUAAGUACUCCGCCUGGGGACUACGGCCGCAAGGCUAAAACUCAAAGGAAUUGACGGGGACCCGCACAAGCGGUGGAGCAUGUGGUUUAAUUCGAUGCAACGCGAAGAACCUUACCUGGUCUUGACAUCCUGCGAACUUUCUAGAGAUAGAUUGGUGCCUUCGGGAACGCAGUGACAGGUGCUGCACGGCUGUCGUCAGCUCGUGUUGUGAAAUGUUGGGUUAAGUCCCGCAACGAGCGCAACCCCUAUUGAUAGUUACCAUCAUUAAGUUGGGUACUCUAUUGAGACUGCCGCUGACAAGGCGGAGGAAGGUGGGGACGACGUCAAGUCAUCAUGGCCCUUACGACCAGGGCUACACACGUGCUACAAUGGGUAUUACAGAGGGCUGCGAAGGUGCGAGCUGGAGCGAAACUCAGAAAGGUACUCUUAGUCCGGAUUGCAGUCUGCAACUCGACUGCAUGAAGUCGGAAUCGCUAGUAAUCGCAGGUCAGAAUACUGCGGUGAAUACGUUCCCGGGUCUUGUACACACCGCCCGUCACACCAUGGGAGUGGGUUGCUCCAGAAGUAGAUAGUUUAACGAAUGGGCGU